rnacentral:tRNA from 1 species
GGCGCUGUAGCUCAACUGGUAGAGCGUUGGAUUUCUAACUCAAAGGUUGUGGGAUUAUGCCCCACCAGCGUCAC